rnacentral:pre_miRNA from 1 species
AAGUUACUCUCUACGUCCAACAAAAGAUGUCUCAAGUUAGUCAAAAUUUGGAUAUAUCUAGACAUGACUUAGUGUAUAGAUGCAUUCAAUUUGAGACAUCUUUUAUUGGACGGAGCGAGCACAUA